UCUUUUCCCUUCAGCUGCACCAUAACCCCUUUCUUCCUAAAACAAUACACCCACAAAACAAAGAAAGAAACGUACAAACGGAGAGGGAAAUGAGAGAGAUCAGAAUCGAAGAAGAGGGAGGAGCCACGCCGCCACCGCACUCCGUCACAUCCGGCCGUGUUUUGCUCGCCGUCGUGCCCUCCACCCACACCGAGAAGGAAGAGAGAAACAGAGGAGAGUGGCGUCGCGUCUGCUGCGAGCUCGCCGCGGAGGAAAGCCGCCGUCGCCAUCGUUGUCCUCAUCAUGACCUGUCACCAUCGCUGGAGCCAGCCGCCUUCGUCGCCAUCGCCGCUGGUCUGCAUUGGAGCCGCCGUCGAGUAGAACGCGAGGAAGAGGAGUGUCGCCGUUUUGUGGAGCCGUGUCGUCGCCGCUCAGCCCACUGCCGGAGACAGACGCGAAGAGGGAGUGGGAGUCACGAAGCCAGCUGCAUCCAGUCGCCGCUGUCGCGCCACUGACCGCCGCCGUUCCGCCGUCGCCGAACCACCGCGCUGCUGUAGCUGUCGCCGGGAAGGUUGUUGGAGCUUGCCGAGGAUACUGUUCUGAUUCUGAAGCAAUUCAUCCAUGUUACUACUCAUCUUUAUCCCUUGUUCUGCCUCUGCCUCUGAAUUCUGUGAGUUGCCGGAGCUCUCUGCCACCGGGAAACAACAUUCGAGCUGCCCAGGAAACCACCAUUAGAACCACUACUAUUUUGCUGCCACGGAGGUCGCUGGUGCUUGUCAAUAGUACUAUUCUGGUUCUGAAUCGAUUAGUUCAUGCCACUGCUGCUGCUGAGAAGUGAUCAAAAAUGCCGCUGCUGUUGGUUCGGUUCAAGGUUGUUGUUGCCACUGCGAAUUAAAAAUAAAAGAAGGCUUUGUUGCGUUUGAUUAUCGAAUUUCGGCUAGUCGAGUGACACAGGUUUGAAGACGCAGUUUGAAGCUGCAGGCGAUUAUAGAUCUUAUUUAUGAGUUAAGUUUAUGACUUGAAUUAUUUUCAUAGAAUUUCCCUCGCCCUUGUUACUUUGGUUUUUAUUUUAUACAGAGGGAUAGGAUUUGUAUGUGAGUUUUAUUUGAAAUCUUUUGUAUGACAGAUAUUAUUAUUAAUAAUUAUGUGAUUAUUAUUACUUGGUGAUGCUUGCUAUAUGAUUUUAAUUAUCAAAAACAAAAUUUUCUGGUAUUUUUACUAAAACAAAAUCGCGAUAUCGAACUAAAGGCUCAAUAGUAAAUAGUUAAUAAAGGAAAGCAGGUUGGUAACACCUUACUUUCGGUACGAUCAUGACGUUCUGGAAGUUGGGUCGUUACAUUUUGCUUCUUCGCGCGUGCGCGUACACCAUGCUUUCGUGUUAGUUGUCCUUUUUCUUAUCGACGCGUACGCGUUAUUGACGCAUACACGUGGAUUCAAGUUUUUCAAUUCCAAAUUUUGGGCUUGGCAUCGCGGACGUUGGAGGGAACGUUUGAGGCAACGUUGGACCUCCAACAUUCGCUUUGUCACGUUAGCAUGAUGCACGCUUGCGCGUGGAUAAAGAGGUUUUGCUCUUUCAUGCGUACGCGUCACUCAAAAAUUCAUUUAGCUCAAGAAUUGAAUUUUUCAUCACAGCGUUGGGGGUAACGUUGGAUGUCCAACGCUCCCUCAAAUGUGAACACCAGCAAACCAUUUAGAGGACUGCUUUGCCUCUCUUCCAACGUUUGAGCCAAAUUUGGUGGGCCAACUUGGCCACCAAUGUUGCUUCUUCUUCAUCUUCUCCAGGCUCCUUCUUCAACCUUCCUCCAUGCCAUCUUUUACCUAUCAUCAACCAAUACAUGCAUCAAAGCCUUGCUAAAGUCAUGAGAAUUCUCAUCAUUCUUAGCAUACAAGUAAUUAUAGCAUAAUUCUCAUGAAAUUGCAUCAAAUUAGUCAUGAUUGAAUGAAUCUAGGUAUGCAUGAAUUU